rnacentral:tRNA from 1 species
GGAUUGUGGCUCAGCGGUAGAGCGCUUGCCUAGCACAUGUGAGGCCCUGGGUUCGAUUCUCAGCACCA